rnacentral:rRNA from 1 species
GUCUGACGGAGCAACGCCGCGUGAGUGAUGAAGGUUUUCGGAUCGUAAAGCUCUGUUGCCAGGGAAGAACGUCGUNNAGAGUAACUGCUUCANGAGUGACGGUACCUGANAAGAAAGCCCCGGCUAACUACGUGCCAGCAGCCGCGGUAAUACGUAGGGGGCGAGCGUUGUCCGGAAUUAUUGGGCGUAAAGCGCGCGCAGGCGGCUGUUUAAGUCUGGUGUUUAAUCCUGGGGCUCAACCCCGGGUCGCACUGGAAACUGGACGGCUUGAGUGCNNAAGAGGAGAGUGGAAUUCCACGUGUAGCGCUGAAAUGCGUAUAGAUGUGGAGGAACACCANUGGCGAAAGCGACUCUCUGGGCUGUAACUGACGCUGAGGCGCGCAAGCGUGGGGAGCAAACAGGAUUAGAUACCCUGGUAGUCCACGCCGUAAACAAUNAAUGCGAGGUGUUAGGGGUUUCUAUACCCUUGGUGCCGAAGUUAACACAUUAAGCAUUCCGCCUGGGGAGUACAGCCGCAAGGCUGAAACUCAAAGGAAUU